AGUAACUACAGAUUCAGCUGAUGAUACAACCCUUGAAUCAACAACACUUUCAACUACUGAAGAAGCAGCAACAUCAGUAACUACAGAUUCAGAAGAUGAUACAACUCUUGAAUCAACAACACUUUCAACUACUGAAGAAGCAUCCACGUCAGUGACACCAGAUUCAGCUGAUGAUACAACCCUUGAAUCAACAACACUUUCAACUACUGAAGAAGCAGCAACAUCAGUAACUACAGAUUCAGAAGAUGAUACAACUCUUGAAUCAACAACACUUUCAACUACUGAAGAAGCAUCCACGUCAGUGACACCAGAUUCAGCUGAUGAUACAACCCUUGAAUCAACAACACUUUUAACUACUGAAG